GCGGCUUUAGCGUAGUGGUUAUCGUGCACCCUUAGGGAGCUCAGUUGUACGACAGCAACUCCUGGGUGAGGUCCUCGGUUCGACUCCGGGAAGCCGCC